rnacentral:rRNA from 1 species
AUUGAACGCUGGCGGCAGGCCUAACACAUGCAAGUCGAGCGGAUGAAGGGAGCUUGCUCCUGGAUUCAGCGGCGGACGGGUGAGUAAUGCCUAGGAAUCUGCCUGGUAGUGGGGGAUAACGUCCGGAAACGGGCGCUAAUACCGCAUACGUCCUGAGGGAGAAAGUGGGGGAUCUUCGGACCUCACGCUAUCAGAUGAGCCUAGGUCGGAUUAGCUAGUUGGUGGGGUAAAGGCCUACCAAGGCGACGAUCCGUAACUGGUCUGAGAGGAUGAUCAGUCACCCUGGAACUGAGACACGGUCCAGGCUCCUGCGGGAGGCAGCAGUGGGGAAUAUUGGACAAUGGGCGAAAGCCUGGUCCAGCCAUGCCGCGUGUGUGAAGAAGGUCUUCGGAUUGUAAAGCACUCUAAGUUGGGAGGAAGGGCAGUAAGUUAAUACCUUGCUGUUUUGACGUUACCAACAGAAUAAGCACCGGCUAACUUCGUG